CACGCCGGAAGACCAAGGGUUCCUGUCCAACGUUAAUCGGGGCAGGGUGAGUCGACCCCUAAGGCGAGGCUGAAAAGCGUAGUCGAUGGGAAACAGGUUAAUAUUCCUGUACUUGGUGUUACUGCGAAGGGGGGACGGAGAAGGCUAGGCUAGCCGGGCGACGGUUGUCCCGGUUUAAGCAUGUAGGCGGAGUGACCAGGUAAAUCCGGUUGCUUAUCAACGCUGAGGUGUGAUGACGAUGCACUACGGUGCAGAAGUAGUUGAUGCCAUGCUUCCAGGAAAAGCCUCUAAGCAUCAGGUAACAUGAAAUCGUACCCCAAACCGACACAGGUGGUCAGGUAGAGAAUACUCAGGCGCUUGAGAGAACUCGGGUGAAGGAACUAGGCAAAAUGGUGCCGUAACUUCGGGAGAAGGCACGCUGGCAUUAGGUAAAGGGACUUGCUCCCGGCGCCGAAGCCAGUCGCAGAUACCAGCUGGCUGCAACUGUUUAAUAAAAACACAGCACUGUGCAAACACGAAAGUGGACGUAUACGGUGUGACGCCUGCCCGGUGCUGGAAGGUUAAUUGAUGGGGUCAGCCGCAAGGCGAAGCUCUUGAUCGAAGCCCCAGUAAACGGCGGCCGUAACUAUAACGGUCCUAAGGUAGCGAAAUUCCUUGUCGGGUAAGUUCCGACCUGCACGAAUGGCGUAAUGAUGGCCAGGCUGUCUCCACCCGAGACUCAGUGAAAUUGAACUCGCUGUGAAGAUGCAGUGUACCCGCGGCAAGACGGAAAGACCCCGUGAACCUUUACUAUAGCUUGACACUGAACAUUGAGCCUUGAUGUGUAGGAUAGGUGGGAGGCAUAGAAGUGUGGACGCCAGUCUGCAUGGAGCCAACCUUGAAAUACCACCCUUUAAUGUUUGAUGUUCUAACUCGGCCCCGUAAUCCGGGGUGAGGACAGUGUCUGGUGGGUAGUUUGACUGGGGCGGUCUCCUCCCAAAGAGUAACGGAGGAGCACGAAGGUUAGCUAAUCACGGUCGGACAUCGUGAGGUUAGUGCAAAGGCAUAAGCUAGCUUGACUGCGAGAGUGACGGCUCGAGCAGGUACGAAAGUAGGUCUUAGUGAUCCGGUGGUUCUGAAUGGAAGGGCCAUCGCUCAACGGAUAAAAGGUACUCCGGGGAUAACAGGCUGAUACCGCCCAAGAGUUCAUAUCGACGGCGGUGUUUGGCACCUCGAUGUCGGCUCAUCACAUCCUGGGGCUGAAGUAGGUCCCAAGGGUAUGGCUGUUCGCCAUUUAAAGUGGUACGCGAGCUGGGUUUAGAACGUCGUGAGACAGUUCGGUCCCUAUCUGCCGUGGGCGUUGGAAGAUUGAGAGGGGCUGCUCCUAGUACGAGAGGACCGGAGUGGACGAAUCACUGGUGUUCGGGUUGUCAUGCCAAUGGCAUUGCCCGGUAGCUAAAUUCGGAAGAGAUAACCGCUGAAAGCAUCUAAGCGGGAAACUUGCCUCGAGAUGAGUCUUCCCUGGGGCUUUAAGCCCCCUGAAGGAACGUUAAAGACGAUGACGUUGAUAGGCUGGGUGUGUAAGUGCAGCGAUGCAUUGAGCUAACCAGUACUAAUGAACCGUGAGGCUUAACCUU
rnacentral:rRNA from 1 species